rnacentral:ncRNA from 2 species
UAGGCUGGCCCCGCAGCUGGUUCGCCCCGUCAGCCGGACGGGAGCGUCGUAAGAGGGAACCCGGUGGGAAUCCGGGACUGCCCCGCAGCGGUGAGCGGGAACGACCGCCGUCAUACGCACUGGGUCCGGGAAAGGGCCUGGGAAGCGACGGCCACUAGGUGCCCGCCGGGAGACCGGCAGGCGUGCCCGCGAGUCCGAAGACCUGCCCGUUGCCCGCGUACGGA